UUUGGAUUUCCCACUGCUGGUGCUGUUGUUCUUGAGCCGACUUCUUACCGUCAGGCUGUUGUUCAUCCUGAAUGGCAGUUUGCGAUGGCAGAGGAGAUUGCUGCUCUUGAACGCACUGGUACCUGGGAUCUUGUUUCUCUUCCUCCCGGAGUCCGUCCCAUCACUUGUAAGUGGGUUUACAAGGUUAAGACUCGCUCCGAUGGUUCUCUUGAGCGUCACAAAGCUCGUCUCGUGGCUCGUGGUUUUCAGCAGGAGCAUGGUCGUGAUUAUGACGAGACUUUUGCUCCUGUGGCCCAUAUGACCACUAUUCGUACACUUCUUGCUGUUGCCUCUGCACGCCACUGGUCUAUAUCUCAACUUGAUGUUAAGAAUGCCUUUCUUAAUGGUGAGCUGCGUGAGGAGGUGUACAUGCAGCCACCACCUGGGUAUUCUGUUCCUGAUGGCAUG
rnacentral:rRNA from 1 species